rnacentral:rRNA from 1 species
AGUGAAUGCUGGCGGUAGGCCUAACACAUGCAAGUCGAACGGCAGCACAGUAAGAGCUUGCUCUUACGGGUGGCGAGUGGCGGACGGGUGAGGAAUACAUCGGAAUCUACUUUUUCGUGGGGGAUAACGUAGGGAAACUUACGCUAAUACCGCAUACGACCUACGGGUGAAAGCAGGGGAUCUUCGGACCUUGCGCGAUUGAAUGAGCCGAUGUCGGAUUAGCUAGUUGGCGGGGUAAAGGCCCACCAAGGCGACGAUCCGUAGCUGGUCUGAGAGGAUGAUCAGCCACACUAGAACUGAGACACGGUCCAGACUCCUACGGGAGGCAGCAGUGGGGAAUAUUGGACAAUGGGCGCAAGCCUGAUCCAGCCAUACCGCGUGGGUGAAGAAGGCCUUCGGGUUGUAAAGCCCUUUUGUUGGGAAAGAAAAGCAGCAGGUUAAUAACCCGCUGUUCUGACGGUACCCAAAGAAUAAGCACCGGCUAACUUCGUG